AGUUCGAUUCUGGCUCAGGUCGAACGCUGGCGGGAUACAUGCAAGUCGAACGGCAGCACGGACUUCGGUCUGGUGGCGAGUGGCGAACGGGUGGUAAUGAACGUGCCUAGUAGCGGGGGAUAACUACGCGAAAGCGUAGCUAAUGCCGCAUACGCCCUUCGGGGAAGCGGGGGGACCUUCGGGCCUCGCUGUGCCGCAAACGGCCAUUAUCGGGAUUAGCUAGUUGGUGGGGUAACGGCUCGCAAGGCGACGAUCCGUAGCUGGUUUGGGGAAGGACGACCAGCCACACUGGGACUGGAACACGGCCAGACUCCUACGGGAGGCAGCAGUGGGAAUUUUGGACAAUGUGGGAAACCCUGAUCAACCAUCCCGCGUGCGAUGAAGGCCUUCAGGGUUUGUAAAGCACUUUUGGCGGGAAAGAAACGGCACGGGAUAAUACCCGUGCAACUGACGGACCUGCGCAGAAUAAGCACCGGCUAACUACAUUACCAGCAACCGCAGUAAUACGUAAGUGCGGCAUUAUCGGAAUUACUGGGCGUAAAGCGUGCGCGAGCGGUUCGGAAAGAAAGAUGUGAAAAAUCCCAGAGCUUAACUGGAGCACAUUUUUUUUUUUUUUUUUUUUUUUUUUUUAACUACCGAGCUAGAGUGUGUCAGGGAGGAGGUGGAAUUCCCGCGUGUAGCAGUGAAAUGCGUAGAUAUGCGGAGGAACACCGAUGGCGAAAGGCAGCCUCCUGGAUCAUACUGAUGACGCUCAUGCACGAAAGCGUGGGGAGCAAACAGGAUUAGAUACCUGGUAGUCCACGCCCUAAACGAUAAUCAGCAGCUGUUGGAGAUGGGCCUUGGCUAGCUAACGCGUGAAGUUGACCGCCUGGGGGAUACGGUCGCAAGAUUAAAACUCAAAGGAAUUGACAGGGACCCGCACAAGCGGUGGAUGAUGUGGAUUAAUUCGAUGCAACACGGCCUUACCUACCCUUGACGUAUCUGGAAUCGAAGAGAUUUGGGAGUGCUCGCAAGAACCGGAACACAGGUGCUGCAUGGCUGUCGUCAGCUCGUGUCGUGAGAUGUUGGGUUAAGUCCGCAACGAGCGCAACCCUUGUCGUGGUGCUACGAAAGGGCACUCUGUGAGACUGCCGGUGACAAACCAGGAGGAAGAUUGAGGAUGACGUCAAGUCCUCCUCGCUGGCCCGCCUUAUGGGUAGGGCUUCACACACGUCAUACAAUGGUCGGGACAGAGGGUCGCCAACUGAGAGAAUAAUCCCGAAACCCGAUCGUGAUCCGGAUCGCAGUCUGCAACUCGACUGCGAGUCGGAAUCUAGUAAUCGCGGAUCAGCAUGUCGCGGUGAAUACGUUCCCGGGUCUUGCAUACACACCGCCCGUCACACCAUGGGAGUGGGUUUUACCAAGUAGUUAGCUAACCGUAAGGAGGGCGAUUACCGGGCAGGAUUCAUGACUAGGUGAAGUCAUGUCUGAGGUAG
rnacentral:rRNA from 1 species